GACGAAGGGGGCUAGCGUUGUUCGGAAUUACUGGGCGUAAAGGGUUCGUAGGUGGCUUGUUAAGUCAGACGUGAAAUCCCUCGGCUCAACCGGGGAACUGCGUCUGAGACUGAUGAGCUCGAGUGCAGGAGAGGAACGCGGAAUUCCAGGUGUAGCGGUGAAAUGCGUAGAUAUCUGGAGGAACACCGGUGGCGAAGGCGGCGUUCUGGACUGCAACUGACACUGAGGAACGAAAGCCAGGGGAGCAAACGGG
rnacentral:rRNA from 1 species